AAAUUGCCUUUGGCUGAUUUAAACAUCACUAGAAGAUUUUUAAAGUGAUUCAAUUAUAUUUUAAACCUCAAAUCAAGAUUUCUAUGAAAUUGGACAUGUCCCAUUUCUCCCUUUGUAAACUGGCUUAUUUCUGAACAUGCAAUAAGCAAAACCAAACCAAAUUAUAAGCAUAUCUGACAAAUCUUAGCUCAAACCUCAGUCAAACCCUUUGUUUUCCAUGAACCUUUGGAUAAGUUGCUUAAUUCCUGUUUUCUCAAUAGGAACAAAAGGGAUAAUAAUAUCUAGGUUGAAAGUCUAUAGUGAAGAUAUAUGAUAUAAAGUACCUAAUAUUGUGUUCAGCCUAUAGCAGAUAUUCAGCAAUGGUUUGCUACAUAGCUAUGUUUAUUUUGCAUAUAGUUCUUAGGUGUAUAUACUUGCAAUGUUGAAAAGACCUGGAGAGGAGCACAUGACACUGGUUGUAUCCCACAGGGAGAAAAGCCACAGAGAAAAUAAAAGGCUACCUAUACAAGAUUUGUAGUUCCUCAUGAGAACUUCUAAUUAGUUCAGCCAAGGUCAUGUUAUGCUGAUCUGGCUGCUGCAGAUAAGACAUGCCUGCUCCUCUUCCUGCCAUGAUUGUAAGUUUCCUGAGACCUCCCCAGUCAUGCAGAACUGCCAAGCUCUGCCUCUGAAAGCCUACUAA
rnacentral:lncRNA from 13 species